GAUGAAGAACGUAGUGAAAUGCGAUAAGUAGUGUGAAUUGCAGAAUUCAGUGAAUCAUCGAAUCUUUGAACGCACAUUGCGCCCGCCAGCACUCUGGCGGGCAUGCCUGUUCGAGCGUCAUUUCAACCAUCAAGCCCCAGGCUUGCGUUGGAGCCCUGCGGCUGCCGCAGCCUCCUAAAAGCAGUGGCGGGCUCGCUAUCACACCGAGUGCAGUAGAUUACUCUUCGCUCAGGGCGUGCAGCGGGUUCCGGCCGUGAAACCCCCUACUUUUAAAGGUUGACCUCGGAUCAGGUAGGAAUACCCGCUGAACUUAAGCAUAUCAAUAAGCGGAGGA
rnacentral:misc_RNA from 1 species